rnacentral:rRNA from 1 species
UACGAAGGGGGCUAGCGUUGCUCGGAAUUACUGGGCGUAAAGGGCGCGUAGGCGGGUUGUUAAGUUAGAGGUGAAAGCCCAGGGCUCAACCCUGGAACUGCCUUUAAUACUGGCAUCCUAGAGUAUGACAGAGGUGUGUGGAACUCCGAGUGUAGAGGUGAAAUUCGUAGAUAUUCGGAAGAACACCAGUGGCGAAGGCGACACACUGGGUCAUUACUGACGCUGAGGCGCGAAAGCGUGGGGAGCAAAC